GAUGAACGCUGGCGGCGUGCUUAACACAUGCAAGUCGAACGGUCGUAGCAAUACGAUAGUGGCGCACGGGUGAGGAACACGUAGCUAACCUGCCCCCAAGUACGGGAUAACUUCCCGAAAGGGAUGCUAAUACCGUAUAAGCUCACGCCGAGUAGGUAGGUGUGAGAAAAGGUUUACUGCUUGGGGAGGGGGCUGCGGCCCAUCAGGUAGUUGGUGAGGUAACGGCUCACCAAGCCGACGACGGGUAGGGGGUCUGAGAGGAUGGCCCCCCACACUGGGACUGAGACACGGCCCAGACUCCUACGGGAGGCAGCAGUGAGGGAUAUUGCGCAAUGGGGGAAACCCUGACGCAGCGACGCCGCGUGGGUGAUGAAGGCCUUCGGGUCGGUAAAACCCUUUUGCCACUGACGAGGAAGGACGGUAGGUGGCGAAUAAGCCUCGGCUAACUACGUGCCAGCAGCCGCGGUAAU
rnacentral:rRNA from 1 species